rnacentral:rRNA from 1 species
AGUGAACGCUGGCGGUAGGCCUAACACAUGCAAGUCGAACGGCAGCACAGUAAGAGCUUGCUCUUACGGGUGGCGAGUGGCGGACGGGUGAGGAAUACAUCGGAAUCUACUUUUUCGUGGGGGAUAACGUAGGGAAACUUACGCUAAUACCGCAUACGACCUACGGGUGAAGGCAGGGGAUCUUCGGACCUUGCGCGAUUGAAUGAGCCGAUGUCGGAUUAGCUAGUUGGCGGGGUAAAGGCCAACCAAGGCGACGAUCCGUAGCUGGUCUGAGAGGAUGAUCAGCCACACUGGAACUGAGACACGGUCCAGACUCCUACGGGAGGCAGCAGUGGGGAAUAUUGGACAAAGGGCGCAAGCCUGAUCCAGCCAUACCGCGUGGGUGAAGAAGGCCUUCGGGUUGUAAAGCCCUUUUGUUGGGAAAGAAAAGCAGCAGGUUAAUACCCCGCUGUUCUGACGGUACCCAAAGAAUAAGCACCGGCUAACUUCGUG